rnacentral:rRNA from 1 species
GACGAACGCUGGCGGCGUGCUUAACACAUGCAAGUCGAACGGAGAUUUAAGAGGAAGCUUGCGAAUCUUAAAUUUUAGUGGCGGACGGGUGAGUAACACGUGGAUAACCUGCCUGUAAGACCGGGACAACACCUGGAAACGGGUGCUAAUACCGGGUAAGCUCUUCAGCCCGCAUGGGCAGAAGAGGAGAGGGGAAACCCGCUUACAGAUGGGUCCGCGGCCCAUUAGCUAGUUGGCGGUGUAACAGACCACCAAGGCGACGAUGGGUAGCCGGCCUGAGAGGGUGACCGGCCACACUGGAACUGAGACACGGUCCAGACUCCUACGGGAGGCAGCAGUGGGGAAUCUUCCGCAAUGGGCGAAAGCCUGACGGAGCAACGCCGCGUGAAUGAUGAAGGCCUUCGGGUUGUAAAAUUCUGUCUUCAGGGAAGAAAAAAUGACGGUACCUGAGGAGGAAGCCCCGGCUAACUACGUGCCAGCAGCCGCGGUAAUACGUAGGGGGCGAGCGUUGUCCGGAAUUACUGGGCGUAAAGGGCGCGUAGGCGGUUCAUUAAGUCAGAGGUGAAAGCUCCCGGCUCAA